rnacentral:rRNA from 1 species
UGGGGAAUCUUGGACAAUGGGGGCAACCCUGAUCCAGCCAUGCCGCGUGAGUGAUGAAGGCCUUAGGGUCGUAAAGCUCUUUCGCCUGUGAAGAUAAUGACGGUAGCAGGUAAAGAAACCCCGGCUAACUCCGUGCCAGCAGCCGCGGUAAUACGGAGGGGGUUAGCGUUGUUCGGAAUUACUGGGCGUAAAGCGCACGUAGGCGGACCAGAAAGUUGGGGGUGAAAUCCCGGGGGCUCAACCCCGGGAACUGCCUCCAAAACUAUUGGUCUAGAGUUCGAGAGAGGUGAGUGGAAUUCCAAGUGUAGAGGUGAAAUUCGUAGAUAUUUGGAGGAACACCAGUGGCGAAGGCGGCUCACUGGCUCGAUACUGACGCUGAGGUGCGAAAGUGUGGGGAGCAAACAGGAUUAGAUACCCUGGUAGUCCACACCGUAAAACGAUGAAUGCCAGUCGUCGGGUAGCAUGCUAUUCGGUGACACACCUAACGGAUUAAGC